AUGGCCGGCCAAGGAGAUGAUGUCAAGGUACUGGGCACGGCGGCGAGCAUGUUCGCGAUCCGCGUGCGCAUGGCGCUGCACGUCAAGGGCGUGAGCUACGAGUACCUGGAGCAGGACCUGUUCCACAAGGGCGAGCUCCUCCUCGCCUCCAACCCGGUGCGCAAGGCGGUCCCCGUGCUCAUCCACGCCGGCAGGCCCAUCUGCGAGUCGCUCGCCAUCGUCGAGUACGUCGACGAGGUCUGGGCCGGCGCCGCCUCGCUCCUCCCCGCGGACCCCUACGACCGCGCCGUCGCCCGCUUCUGGGCGGCCUACAUCGAUGACAAGGCUGUCCCCACGUGGAUAGGCAUCAUGAGGGCGGCCACGGAGGAGGACAGGGCGGAGGGGCUGGCCGCUGCGCUCGCGGCGGUCGCGCCCUUGGAGGACGCCUUCGCCCAGUGCUCUGGCGGGAAGGCCUUCUUCGCCGGCGACUCCAUCGGGUACCUCGACCUUGCGCUCGGGUGCAACCUCUUCUGGAUCGAGGCGCUGCGCCACAUGUUCGGCGUCACGGUCAUCGACGCUGGCAGGACUCCACGCCUGGCCGCCUGGGCUGAGAGGUUCGAGCAGACGGAGGCUGCAAAGAAGGCGGCGCCGCCCAUGGAAAGCAUGUUGGAGGAGGCCGAGAAGCUGCGGGCCAUGUGGGCUGCUGCUGCUGCCCCGGCUGCCAAGUAA
rnacentral:rRNA from 1 species